UACGAAGGGAGCUAGCGUUGUUCGGAAUCACUGGGCGUAAAGCGCACGUAGGCGGAUUUGCCAGUCAGGGGUGAAAUCCCGGGGCUCAACCUCGGAACUGCCUUUGAUACAGCAAGUCUUGAGUUCGAGAGAGGUGGGUGGAAUUCCUAGUGUAGAGGUGAAAUUCGUAGAUAUUAGGAAGAACACCGGUGGCGAGGGCGGCCCACUGGCUCGACACUGACGCUGAGGUGCGAAAGCGUGGGGAGCAAACAGG
rnacentral:rRNA from 1 species